rnacentral:rRNA from 1 species
UCCAGAAAGGUGACGCUUAUGAGAAGCCUUUGUGGCCCCGCAAGGGGUACCUGCCGCGACUAUAAAUCAAGAAUGCCGGUAUUAAAUCGCAAGUCGGCUUGGUUACCAAGUUGGCUACACUUUCGAAUUGCGGGGACACCCUAAAGCCCACCUCUACCAACCUGGCAAGGAAACUUCGCUUGGGGCCUGUGCUAACACCAUGGGAUGUGGUCAAAAUGAGGAAGGGAUGUUGCAAUGGGUAAUCCGCAGCCAAGUCCCUAAGGUGAGUUCUUCGCUUGCUAUGGGAAAGGUUCACAGACUAAGUGGAAGUGGGCUGAAGCUGCGCAAACGAGCUUUCGGCUUAAGAUAUAGUCGGGCCCGGUUAGAAAUAGCUGGGGAGUCAUUUGGACCAUGUAACAAACCGUUCCGUAGGUGAACCUGCGGAAGGAUCAUUAAAAAGUUCCUAACCGAAACUCUUUGGUCCGGCUCACGCUGGUCAAAGUUUUAAACCCUUUGUGAACCGCAAAACUUCUUCGCUUCGGCAGCAGGUCAGGUCCUUCUGGGCCUGCGCUGUCAGCCUGCCGGCAGCAACCAAAUCAAACCUGAUCUUAUAAAAUUUGUCUGAAGAUACUUCAUUAUCGAAUGAAAAAUCAAAACUUUCAACAACGGAUCUCUUGGUUCUCGCAUCGAUGAAGAACGCAGCGAAACGCGAUAGUUAAUGUGAAUUGCAGAAUUCAGUGAAUCAUCGAGUCUUUGAACGCACAUUGCGCCCAUUGGUAUUCCGAUGGGCAUGUCUGUUUGAGCGUCAUUGCAACCCUUCGGCGCAAGUCGGUCAUGAGCUCCGCUGACCUGUCACAAGGCGGCUGGCUUUAAAGUUGCACGCUCUGCGGGUGACCCAAACCUGAACGAACAUAGUAGAAUUUCUCACCCUGUUCRACUAAGGUCAGGUCAGCUCCGCCUGAACAACGAACCAAUUUUCUCAGGUUUGACCUCAGAUCAGACAAGGAUACCCGCUGAACUUAAGCAUAUCAAUAAGCGGAGGAAAAGAAACCAACAGGGAUUGCCUCAGUAACGGCGAGUGAAGCGGYAACAGCUCAAAUUUGAAAUCUGAAGUCUUCGGCUUCCGAGUUGUAAUUUGAAGAGGAUGCUUCGGUUGCAGCCCCGGCCUAAGUUCCUUGGAACAGGAUGUCGCAGAGGGUGAGAAUCCCGUACGCGGCUGGCGGCUUGCUUCCAUGUGUAGCUCCCUCGAAGAGUCGAGUUGUUUGGGAAUGCAGCUCAAAAUGGGUGGUAAAUUUCAUCUAAAGCUAAAUACUGGCGAGAGACCGAUAGCGCACAAGUAGAGUGAUCGAAAGAUGAAAAGCACUUUGAAAAGAGAGUUAAACAGUACGUGAAAUUGUUGAAAGGGAAGCGUUUGCAAUCAGACUUGCUUGCGGUUGAUCAACGUUCCUUCUGGUUCGUGCACUCUGCCGUUCGCAGGCCAGCAUCGGUUAGGGCGGUGGGACAAAGGCUCCGAGAAUGUGGCUCUCUUCGGGGAGUGUUAUAGCUCGGUGCGCAAUGCCRUCAGUCCUGACCGAGGUCCGCGCUUUUGCUAGGAUGCUGGCUUAAUGGUUGUAAACGGCCCGUCUUGAAACACGGACCAAGGAGUCUAACAUCUAUGCGAGUGUUUGGGUGUCAAACCCAUGCGCGCAAUGAAAGUGAACGGAGGUGGGAGUCUUCGGAUGCACCAUCGACCGAUCCUGAUGUUCUCGGAUGGAUUUGAGUAUGAGCAUAGCUGUUGGGACCCGAAAGAUGG